AGCAACUAAUGGAUGUUGAUCUUCCAAGAUGUGGAAACAGCAGCUGGAACCUACACAGGACUUGGUGGAAACAACUGGAGGAGACAAGCCUGAUGGAUGUUAACCCCCCCCCCCCCCUUUCAAGACGUAUCACAGAAGAUAACUGACACCGAUCAGUUUGAAGAUUUGAAGACCAUUCAAAGUACUGGGAAUUAAGCAGAUCUCAUUUUGGCUUGGUUUGCUUGAUGACAUUAUGAAGAAUGGGGACCAUUCAGGUUGCAGAGGUGACUUCUAAGAAUGGUGUGGAUGAAGUUUUUCUUCAACAUCGUGAAAAAAAGAAGCCUAAUAGGAAUUGGUGGAAAAAUGUAACUGGUUGAAAAUGCAAUGUUGAUGGACAUUGACCCUCUAAGAUGUGAAAAUGAGCAGCUACAGCCACA